rnacentral:rRNA from 1 species
GAUGAACGCUGGCGGCGUGCCUAAUACAUGCAAGUCGAGCGAACAGACGAGGAGCUUGCUCCUUUGACGUUAGCGGCGGACGGGUGAGUAACACGUGGGUAACCUACCUAUAAGACUGGGAUAACUUCGGGAAACCGGAGCUAAUACCGGAUAAUAUUUCGAACCGCAUGGUUCGAUAGUGAAAGAUGGCUCUGCUAUCACUUAUAGAUGGACCUGCGCCGUAUUAGCUAGUUGGUAAGGUAACGGCUUACCAAGGCAACGAUACGUAGCCGACCUGAGAGGAGGAGCGGCCGCAUUAGGACUGAGACAGGGACGCGCGCACGACGGGAGGGAGCAGGAGGGAAUAGUCCUGAAGGGCAGAAAACCGGAAGGAGCAAUGCCGCGUGAAGAAUGAAGGUCUACGGAUCGGAAAACGCUGUGAUUAAGGAAGAACAAACGUGUAAGUAACUGUGCACGUCCGGACGGGACGUAAUCAGAAAGCCACGGAGAAGGCUGGG